rnacentral:tRNA from 1 species
CGGGGUGUAGCUUAGUUGGUAAAGCGCCAGGCUGGGGGUCUGGAGAUCGCCUGUCCGAGUCAGGUCGCCCCGA